UUGCUUGUUUGGAGUUCUUCUGCUUCUUCUUCUUCAAUCAAGGGAUAGGUUCCGGGUCGAGGAACCUGGGAUUAGCAGGGUGGAUGUCAUUCUUCUUUUUCGUUUGAUUUCAUCCGUAGUCGGAUCCUGCUCUUCCGUAUGAUGGUUGCCAUGUAUUGAUGUAUUGUUGUAUGAAUGAUGUAGCUUGUGGCGAGUGUAAGCCUUUAUCUUGUAUUCUCCUCUAUUCAGUACAUGGUAUGUUGUAAUGAUAUCCACCUUGGGAUGUGCUUGAAAUGUGAUUGUGCCCCGAUCAUGAGUUCAUCACAUGAUUGGGAUAGAAUCGCACCUUGGGAGCUACAAGUUGGUAUCAGAGCCUUACCGACCUUAGCAGCCCCCUUGAUUGAUCAAACCGUUGACAUUGUUGAGUCUAGCAGAAAACUAUUUUGAGUCUUAGUUAGAUCGGAUAGUAGGAAUUCUUUUUACUCCUCAUCCCAUUCGUCGCUCUGGUGAGGAAUCCCGAUGUAGAUGUUUUGACUUCACUCUCCUCAUUUUCAUUCAAAUUUUUUUUAGGAUCACGCGGGUAUUGUUGGAUCGUUGCGAUAUCAUUGUGACAGGGAUUCUGUCUUGGUGCCUCCUUACAUUUAGGGGUUGUGGCAGUGUCCCGGGUAGUUGAGCUCCAAGUUGUUUUUGUCACAGUGCUUAUCAUUUCAGUUCCGGAAUACCAGAGGACGCCGACUUUGAAAACGCUUCUAUACUCUUUGUGGUGAGAGUAGUUUGACGACACCCAGUAUAGGGGAGUGCGAUCAAAUGUAUUGCCACAUCUAGUAUAUCUGAUGUUUUCAAAGGUCUGAGGUACUCGAUUUUCGAUGGUUUCUUGGUUAUGUAUUGAUAGAUGGAUACAGUUGGAGCGUAGGGCUUGCUAGUUGUGUGAUAUAUUUGUGCCUCCCUGUAUCCCCAACACCAGAUUGCAUGACCAGAAAGUUUCGGGAGUUUUUAGGUGGGAAUUCAAGUAUCUCGUAGGAUAUCUUUCCAACAAACACAUGAUACGAUAUGGGGUCUAUCAUAUGUUUGUUCCAGCUUAUUUCGGCAAGACAAAUCCUUUGUUUUGUUUUGGUUCUGGUAUUCGAGUUGCUUAGAAGGCAAGUGUUGAUUCCAUACUUUUUCCUAUGCGGUGUUCUCAUAUUUCUAUGGGAGUGCUAAUGCUUCUUGAUCAUCGAGAUUGUCAUGCCAAUUCUUUUCAUCCAGCGUGCCUGCCUUCAAGUGGAUCCGAUCAUUUCAACAUCCGCAAGAUCAAUUCUAAGUUUCUCAACGGUGUUUGUUUCAUCCGUCCCAAUUUGCUUUGUUUUUCCCGCCCUCCCACCCUUUUUCUUCAAGGACUCAAAUUUCUUAAUCAAGUAUCCUUUUUAUUGAUGGGAAGUCUCUCCAUUCUUUUCCAUCAAUGUUCUUAUCUAGUGAUUCUCAGGAAGAUACAAGGAAGCUUCAAGUUCAUCAUUCUUCAUUCUCAUUUUCUUUUUUGGUGGGUUCAAUUCAACCUUCAGCGUUGAUCAUAUCUCUUCCUCUUAUUUCACGAUUUUUUUUCAUGUUGGAAUUUCUUAUCCUAGGCUCUCUUAUUUACUCAUCUCCCUCUAUUUCUUCUCUGGAGUGUUGUAGACAUCUUAGAAGAUUCGUGAUCCGCUCGUUCCAUUUCGUGGUUGUUAUCUCAUUCUAGCCAUUUAAUUUAACCAGUGCAAUCUCUCAUUUUGAAAUCACUUCAACGGUGUUUCUUUUGAGUGGGACCUAACCCACAUGUCUUUUCCCAGGAUCUUAUCUGGCUCUUCUAAUUGUUUUGGAGCUAUUCUCAAAUUAUUUUCAAAGUUUGACGUAAGAAUGAAUUUCAUCAGUCAGGUGUCCUCUCCAAGAUUGUGUCAAAUUAUUUUCAUCAUUGGCUCAACCUUUUCUCUUUUCAUUCUUCAUUCCGGAGUGCCUCAACAAAUCAUGGUGGUGUUUCUCAUCCUCAUUCUCAGAUUUUGAAGACCGAAGAAGAGUUCCUUUUAAAUCCUUACCCGUUCUUCCAAAGAUUCAUGGUUCCAGCGUUACGCCAUCCUCAUAAUUGUUUUCGAUUAUGAUAAUUCUUUUAAUACCCAACUGAAGCAUUUCAGGAUUUUUUUUGUUUUGAUUAUCCGGAGGCCAUCAUUCAGAAUGAUUUUUUAUUCUCAAUUUUAAACUCUCGUUCUCCAAUUCUUUCGGUGCAUCAUUCAAGUAUUCAUUAGUCAUCUUGUUAUCUCUUCAUUCUCUUGCAUCUUAAUUUCUUCAAGUAUCUUCGUUGCUUUCUCAUUCUUCCCGGUGUUUCGUUCCUUUACUUCAUUUGUUUUCAAUUCUAUCGGUGGUUCGUUCAAGAGUUCUCUUCCUUGGUCAUCAUAUCAAUUCAUUUGUCCUUCUGAAGUCCUUCUGGUGGUUUGCUGAAGACCUUAUUCAAGUUUGCGCUAUAUCUCUCAUCAAUCCUUUUCAACGGGAAUAAGUAGUAUGCCAAAUCCAUUGCGGGUCAUCAAUUUAAUUGAUGAAGGAUAAGCAUAUUGUAAUUCUUAUUCUUGUUUCAUCGAGUAAAUUCAAUUCCUUAUUCCGGAGGUUCAACAAAAUUCUAAGUUUCAAUUGUUCAUCUUUCUUUUAUAGAGUUCCAAGUUUUCUUGGUUAUAUCAUCGUGAAGCUCCAUAUAAUCAAUGCAAGGAUUCAUCUUAUUAUUUUCAAGCUUCCUUUAUUUACGACCAUCUUUUUAUCUAUCCGGAGUUUUUCGAGAGUUUCUUCAUGGUGGUUCAUCAAAUAUUUAAUUCAUAUUUUGUGGUGUGCGUCAAGAUUAUUGUUCGAGGAGCUCAAUUAUUCUUUAUCUUGCAUUCUAAAGUGCAAUUCUUCUACAUUAUCUUUUGAGGUGGUGUUAUGCCAUUUUUUACAAUUUCCUUCAUGUUUCAUGAUUCAUAAGUUAUCAAGAAUGAGAUAUUUAAACCCAUCGUUUCUUCAUUGGAGUUAUCUUGGGUUAUAUUUCACCUAAAGCCUUCCAUUGGGAACGUUGCUAUUUGUGGUGCUCAUCAAUGAUCCAAGUUUCCCCUUCUCUUCUCGGUGAAAGAGUUUUCAUCAUCGUGUUGCUCUCAAGCAAUCAAUUGUUUUUCGUAGUGUCAUGUAUUCACCUCUAAGUUUUGAGCUGGUUCCAUAAGCCCACAAGAAGCUUAUUCUCACCGUUGUUGUUUUUCAAACAACUCCGUUCAAUCCUACUUCGUAAGGAUGCUCUUUCAAAUUCAUUUAUGGUAGGAGAUGUUGGUUUCAUUAUUCGUUCUAUCCAUUCCAACUAUCUAACUAUCAUUCAUUGUUUCUGGAGGCUUUGUGAUGUUGCUAUCUUCGACUCAUCGUCUCGUUUUGCCAAGAUCAUGUUCUUUUCUUUUCUUUUCUUAUCCAUUUAACCGGAGUGUUGUGUCCUCUAUUGAAGUUCCUUUUAUCUUAUCAAGUCUUGUAUCUCUUUUCAACCGGAGUGUUGUUAGAAUUUUUUCUUCCUUGUUCUAGAGUGGUUUCAAUCCUUCUUGUCCAUUGUGCUCGUCAUUCAUAGCUUUGCAACCUCCAAGGUUCACAUGGUGUUCCUUGUUUCUCUUUUCUACCGGAGUGCUCUCAGUUUCGUUCAACUAUGUUCUGUUCUUUCUUUCAAGUUUUCAACCUCUCAAGGUUCAUUGGUUUCACUCGUUUGUUAAAGAAGCAACUUGUUUUACCUCUUCCUCUUCCGUUUCUCCCUGAUGCCAUCCCUAGAUCUCGGGUCGAGAUCUCUUGUAAGUGGAGGAGAGUUGUGACGCCCCAAUACUGGCGCUCCAGCCUUCAAUGGAUUCUGAGAUUCGCCGUGUGACUUGUUUUGUUCGUUGCAUUCAUCUUUGCAUCAUUCGCAUUGCAUCAUGUCAUCAUGCAUCCCUUUUUAAAACUCAUCUAAAUAAAUUGCAUGGAUAUCUGAUCCAUUUAAAUUGGGGGAAAUUCUCAUGGUGAUUUCUGUUUAAAACAUAUUCAAAGUCUCCUACUAUUAUUAGGGAGCUAUAUUAAAAUAUUCCAUUAACUUUGGAAUCACGAUAACACACUUGCAAUUUAAUUCCAUGCCUCUUCUGCUUCAAGUUUCACUUCCAAACUUUGCCAACAAUUCUUUUCCCUUUUAUCGAGGCUCUUCCUAAAUUCUCAACAUUUUUGGACACUUCUAAAACCUUGUUCUAGUUCAAACCAUUUGAAUUAAAUUCAAAUAUUUUGAAUUUAAACUUCAAUCAUGCCCACUCCUAUUUUUCAUGGACCGUGCACAUUUUUUUGAGUCCAAGAAAAUUAACACCUUCCCCAAAUUCGUUUUCCAACCCUUUCUUCUCUCCUGCUCUUUUUUGCUAUUUUCUGUUUCGGAAAUAAAAGAGGAGUGAGGGAGAGAGAGCAUAGCCCAGCAGGUCUCCCUAGGCCCAACUCCAGUGCCAGUCCACCUAGGCCCAGCCGCACCUAAACCCUAGCCCCGAUCCCCUCCUCAUCUCGCGAUCGAUCCCCAUAUCUCCCUUCGUUCUCCUCCUGUGCCGCCAAAGACACACACACACACACACACACACACAGCGCACACCUGCAGUGACUCCAUUUCAAUCCCCUAAUCCUCUUCCUAGCGCCGCCGCCAGGGCAUCUUGCCCGACCCUGCGCAACCUCGUCCCCACCACCAACUCUCCUCACCGGAGGAGCACCAGGAGGAGUGGAGCACCACCAUCGUCGCACCGUUCCCUGCUUCCCUGGGGUCUUCACUACAAGGCCUUCUUCGAGCCAAGGUCGUUGCCGCAACGCCUUCCUCGUACCCCGUGAGAUCCAGCAAGUCCGGCGCCUCCCCAAGCCCAGCGGCCGUCCUUGUGACCUCCGGCCACCAGGACCCUCCAGCAAGCCGCCGCCGCCGUCCUGGACCACCAUGGCCGCCCCAAGUUCCUCAGGAAGCCGCGCCACCCCCUCUGGUCAUGACUCCGGCGAGAUCCGGGCAGCCCCAUGCUAGAGCUAUCGUUCCCGCACCGCCGCAGCACCAUCUUGCCUCCUCCUCCUCGCCCGUACCUCCUGCCCCAUCAGCCUCCUCGCUGCCUCGGCUUCUUCCCCGUGCGGCUCCCUCCUUGCACCUUUGUUUCCUCCCAACGUGGACUAGCGCCAAGGCUGCUGUGGAGCCCCUCCGCCUCCUUGUUAUCAUGCCGUUGAGGCCACUGACCCUGCUGGCCUCGCUCAUGCAGGCCGCUGCGGCCGCUCCCCUGUACCUUCACCUUGGCCCCGUCCGCAUGCUGCUAUUGCCUUGCCCCAUGCAUCCACCACUGCUGCGAGCACAACAUCCGCAAGAUGCUGCCUCCGUUGCACCCUUCCCGAGCAGGAGCACUUUGGAUCCGCCAAGUAUGACUACACAGUGACGCGUCAUGUACCUUUGCCGCCGUCUUUAGAAUCCCAAGAACGCCAAGUACCUCGACGCCCGAAUCCUAGAACGACUACUGACGCCGAAGACCCAUGAACCAAAAACGUCAAGUUCGACUACCGUCGAUGUCCACUUCGCCAAGUUCCACUACCGUCGACCCGUGUACGACUACCGCCGCCGUGAUUUCGACGAUGAAACAUGUACCACUACUUCCAAUACCGUCGCGAGAAUGACUACUUCUCUCGAAGAACCUGAACCGCCCUGAAAUUGCACGCUUCGAAGGUAUAACCGACGAGACGACCGUCCGUGAACAAAAGCAUAUGUUGUAUGUGAUGCAUGUUUAGAUGUUUUAUCCGCCCGUGAACGUUAAUUGUUCCCUCAUUUGGCACUAUCUUCGACACUUGGGACACCCGGUAACCGGGAUCACUCCCUGCCACUCUUGCAUGUUUCACACAUCCACACUUCCUUUUGCACCGGUAUCUCCAUGAGCUAUCGGAACCGAGAUGUUGUCGUGGCACCAUUUUUGUUUCGCCGCUAUGGCACCCUUUUCCUUCCGCUAUGGCGACAAAUGCCUCGUAUCAUAUUAUGUCAACCUUUUCAUAAAAUUGCAUCAACUUGUUUAUGUCAUCCUCAUGUAUGCUAAAAACCUUUAAAUUGUUGUUUGCAUCAAAUUGGUAAAUGACAUGUGGAAAUUACCGGAAUUGUUGUUCGAUAUUUCUGGCCUCAUUUAAACUUGCCUAAAUAGUUAGUUUUAUUAUGCUUCAUCUCUUGCCAUGUUUAACAACAUUUAAUAUUGUUGAAUAGCUCAAACGAGAGCAAACUAGAUAAUUGAAUGUGGUGUUUUGUCAAUAUGCAACUCGUUGCAUAUUGAGCUCCACUUAAUUUGUAGUGUUGUUUGCUGCAGUUUGCCAUGCCAUGACUCAUUAAACCAAACAUGCAUCAUACUUGAUUGUGCAUAUGCCAUGUUUAUGUGAUGCUUCUUUACCAUGUUGUUUGCCUCUUUCCGGUUGUUCCUCUUCUUGAUAGUUGCCGGUAACAUUGCGAUUGUGAGGAUUCGUUCAACUACGCCCGUUCGUCUUCUUCAUGGAUUCGUUCUUCUUCCUAGCGGGAUUUCAGGCAAAUGACCGUCACCUUGGAUCUCACUACUAUCUUUGCUAUGCUAGUUGUCUCGAUGCUAUCACUAUGUCGCGCAACCUACCACUUGUUUAUCAAGCCUCCCAAAUUGCCAUGAUAGCCUCUAACCUUUUUACCCUUCCUAGCAAACCGUUGUUUGGCUAUGUUAUCGCUUUGCUCAGCCCCUCUUAUAGCGUUGCUAGUUGCAGGUGCAGUUGCAGGUUGUUCCAUGUUGGGACAUGGAUAUCAUGGGAUAUCAGAAUAUCUCUUAUUAAUUAAUGCACAUAUAUACUUGGUAAAGGGUGGAAGGCUCAGCCUUAUGCCUCGUGUUUUGUUCCAUUCUUGCCGCCCUAGUUUCCGUCAUACCGGUGUUAUGUUCCUUGAUUUUGCGUCCCUAACACGGUGAGGGUUAUGGGGCCCUUUUGAUAGUUCGCUUUGAAUAAAACUCUUCUAGCAAGGCCCAACAUUGGUUUUAACAUUUGCCAUAAUAAUACUUUAACUAAAUAAUUAAUUGGCAUAGGACGUCAUGAACCCGAGGAUUCUUUCUACAUAGCAGGGGGCAGUGUUGAUGGUGUUGGUCCCAAAUGGGCAGCCUGCGGGGCCACCUCGAGGAAACUAGAGGUCUGGUUUUACUCGUAGCUUGUCCCAUCCGGACGUGGCCUGAGGCGAGAUACGCGCGGCUACUAUCAAGGUGUCGACACGCCGGGAGGUCUUGCUGGAUUAGUUUUACCAUUGUCAAAAUGUCUUGUGCACCGGGAUUCCGAGUCUGAUCAGAGGGUCCCGCGAUGGAGGAUUGUCUCCACUGAUCGUGAGCUUGUCAUGGGCUAAGUUGGGACACCCCUGUAGGGUUUAAACUUUCGAGAGCCAUGCCCGCGGUUAUGUGGCAGAUGGGAAUUUGUUAAUAUCCGGUUGUAGUGAACUUGAAGUAAACUCAAUUAAAAUACACCAACUGCGUGCGUAACCGUGACCGCCACCUUUCAGGGAAGUUCGAGAGGAGAAAAUGGUUGGGUUAUGUUUGAACGUAAGUAGUUCAGGAUCACUUAUUGAUUAUUACUACUUUGCGACCGUUUGCGUAGUUUCUCAUCGUACUCUUAUACUCGUAAGUUAGCCACCAUACAAUGCUUAGUCACUUGCUGCAACCUCACCACUUAUCCUUUCCAUACCCAUUAAGCUUUGCCAGUCUUGAUACCCAUGGUAAUGGGAUUGCUGAGUCCUCGUCGCUCACAGAUUACUACAACAACAGUUGCAGGUACAAGUAAUGCGAUGAUCUCACACGAGUGUGAUGCUUGCUUGUUUGGAGUUCUUCUGCUUCUUCUUCUUCGAUCAAGGGAUAGGUCUAGGGUCGAGGAACCUGGGAUUAGCAGGGUGGAUGUCGUUCUUCUUUUUCAUUUGAUUUCAUCUGUAGUCGGAUCCUGCUCUUCUGUAUGAUGGUUGCCAUGUAUUGAUGUAUUGUUGUAUGAAUGAUGUAGGUUGUGGCGAGUGUAAGCCUUUAUCUUGUAUUCUCCUCUAUUCAGUACUUGGUAUGUUGUAAUGAUAUCCACCUUGCUAUGCAAUUGUGCCUCGAUCAUGAGUUCAUCACGUGAUUGGGAUAGAAUCACAUCUUGGGCGCUACAUCUAUCUUUGUAAUCGUGUACAAGUUAUAUAAUAAAGUUUAGUUUGAUUGUUU
rnacentral:lncRNA from 1 species